UGAGCUCUGGGUUUAGACUCUAGUCAUCCUGCUGACCUUCCCUGGAGAGCCUGUGUUUCCCCCUGCGGGAAGGACAGAUGGAAAGAAGACAUGGUCAGUGUGAGCAUCAAGCAAGAGGCUGUGUGAACAGUGCACGUGACACGGGGUCAGAACGGGCCGCCCAUCCGUGUCCCUGACUACACAGCCUUCUGGAGACAUCCGGGUCUGGUCGGCAGGUGGAAAAACGAUGAUGACUCAUCUGUCUGCGGCUCAGAAUGGGGACAGGAAGUUCUCCUGCAGAAGGUGCAGGUGAAGUUUCUCCUCUGAAGACCCUCCCAGAGCCAAAUCAGGCUGCUACAAGCAGAGGCCGGGCUGACUCAGUCCCUCCAGACUCACUCCGUCCGCCUGGCCCCAGCUCUGCGAGGAGACCUCCUUGGUGAAGCACCCUGCCCCACCCAGACAGCCCCGGCCUGCAGACUGUGGAGACCGGGAAGAGGAAAGGAGUAGAGCCAGGGUUGGGGGUGGUGGCGCACCUGGCUGAGCACACCUGUCACAGACCCUGCUCGGCCUCUCCCCCAGGAGUCCCUCAGAGGGGCUUACGCUGCAUCUUGGAUUCUGUCUUGGGGAUGAGGGUCUAUUUGAAACCCGGGGAUGGCGGCGUCUGCCAGCUGGCUCACACUGAUUUAUAGGGUACACCAACUGGCAACAUCCCAGAUGUGUCACAUCAGCCCAAGGAACUGAUGGCUCAGAGGUUUUGGCAUGGCUGUCAGGCGAUUGGGACAUUCUGAGACCCAGUGGGUGCGGCUUCAUCUGCAGGUGGUUGGCCGGUUCACUAGGACCUGGAAGUUAGAAUUGAAUGAGUUUGGGGUGAUGUUCCCCUCUCUAGGAUUCAUCUUCUUUUGUCCCCAACCCUCUGCAGGAAGAUAAGUGGAAUGGCUAGAAUGUGGUAUUAAGGGCAAUACAAAGAAAUGUGCCAGCAAAGGGUAAUGCCAAGUACAUGCAAAGGUACACAGACAGCUGUACAAAUACUAGUCAGCCCACACCUGCGGCCUUGGGAGAACCACUGCAGUUAGAGGACAGGGACACAGAACUCUGGCGGUGGGAAUGGUGCGGAGUUGUUCCUGUUACCUUGUGAUUUUGAGAUUAAAUACCAAAUCAUUAAUAAUAA